rnacentral:rRNA from 1 species
GAGUUUGAUCCUGGCUCAGGAUGAACGCUAGCGGCAGGCUUAACACAUGCAAGUCGAGGGGUAACGGGGAAGCUUGCUUCCGCCGACGACCGGCGCACGGGUGCGUAACGCGUAUACAAUCUACCUUAUACUGGGGUAUAGCCUUUAGAAAUGAAGAUUAACCCCCCAUAGUCUCUUAGAGUGGCAUCACUUCUAGAGUAAAGGUUACGGUAUAAGAUGAGUAUGCGUUCUAUUAGUUUGUUGGUGUGGUAACGGCACACCAAGACUACGAUAGAUAGGGGCCCUGAGAGGGGGAUCCCCCACACUGGUACUGAGACACGGACCAGACUCCUACGGGAGGCAGCAGUGAGGAAUAUUGGGCAAUGGAGGCAACUCUGACCCAGCCAUGCCGCGUGCAGGAAGACUGCCCUAUGGGUUGUAAACUGCUUUUAUACAGGAAGAAACACCUCUACGUGUAGAGGCUUGACGGUACUGUAAGAAUAAGGAUCGGCUAACUCCGUGCCAGCAGCCGCGGUAAUACGGAGGAUCCAAGCGUUAUCCGGAAUCAUUGGGUUUAAAGGGUCCGUAGGUGGAUAAUUAAGUCAGAGGUGAAAUCUUGCAGCUCAACUGUAAAAUUGCCUUUGAAACUGGUUAUCUUGAGUUAUUAUGAAGUAGUUAGAAUAUGUAGUGUAGCGGUGAAAUGCAUAGAUAUUACAUAGAAUACCAAUUGCGAAGGCAGAUUACUAAUAAUCAACUGACACUGAUGGACGAAAGCGUGGGUAGCGAACAGGAUUAGAUACCCUGGUAGUCCACGCCGUAAACGAUGACAACUAGCUGUUAGGAGACUAUGUCUUUUAGUGGCGCAGCUAACGUUUUAAGUUGUCCGCCUGGGGAGUACGGCCGCAAGGCUAAAACUCAAAUGAAUUGACGGGGACCCGCACAAGCAGUGGA